UGCAGUCGAGCGGGGGAGGUUGCUUCGGUAACUGACCUAGCGGCGGACGGGUGAGUAAUGCUUAGGAAUCUGCCUAUUAGUGGGGGACAACAUUCCGAAAGGGAUGCUAAUACCGCAUACGCCCUACGGGGGAAAGCAGGGGAUCUUCGGACCUUGCGCUAAUAGAUGAGCCUAAGUCGGAUUAGCUAGUUGGUGGGGUAAAGGCCUACCAAGGCGACGAUCUGUAGCGGGUCUGAGAGGAUGAUCCGCCACACUGGGACUGAGACACGGCCCAGACUCCUACGGGAGGCAGCAGUGGGGAAUAUUGGACAAUGGGCGGAAGCCUGAUCCAGCCAUGCCGCGUGUGUGAAGAAGGCCUUUUGGUUGUAAAGCACUUUAAGCGAGGAGGAGGCUCUUAAGGUUAAUACCCUUGAUGAGUGGACGUUACUCGCAGAAUAAGCACCGGCUAACUCUGUGCCAGCAGCCGCGGUAAUACAGAGGGUGCGAGCGUUAAUCGGAUUUACUGGGCGUAAAGCGUGCGUAGGCGGCUGAUUAAGUCGGAUGUGAAAUCCCUGAGCUUAACUUAGGAAUUGCAUUCGAUACUGGUCAGCUAGAGUAUGGGAGAGGAUGGUAGAAUUCCAGGUGUAGCGGUGAAAUGCGUAGAGAUCUGGAGGAAUACCGAUGGCGAAGGCAGCCAUCUGGCCUAAUACUGACGCUGAGGUACGAAAGCAUGGGGAGCAAACAGGAUUAGAUACCCUGGUAGUCCAUGCCGUAAACGAUGUCUACUA
rnacentral:rRNA from 1 species